CAAUGACUUUUCUCACUAUCCCUUCAUUUUUCCCCUUUCUUUUUUUCAGGCUGUUUCAGAUGCUACUCAGUUACUUGUAUCCUUUUAUAUUCCGACUAUAAAAUUUUCUCUUUUCUACCCAUGAAAAUGGGAUUGGUUUAGUAGGAAGUCAUUUCUUGGCCCCAGCUUGGUUUAAGAAGCCAUGUUUGCCAUUAUUAGCUUCAGUGUCUCUGGACCCCCAGAGUCCAAUGCACUGCUUAACAUCACUGUGUUCCUCCAUUGUGUUGUAUAUGGAAAACCUGCUGUGUGCCAGACCCUAGCAUGGGCCCUGGAAAUGGAAAGGUGCUUAAGCCUCUGUUUGACUUCAAGGACGUCAGGGCAAAACUCUGGUCAUUUCCUGCUUUUCUCCUUUGAGUGUGAUACAUGCAAGUCAGUGACUCUUAAUAGAAGAAAAGUCUCCCAAAGUGGACUAACCCCUAAAAAACCGAAAACAAGGAUCAACAUUGCAGCAUUUCCAACCAACCACAGGACCUGAUAAACCUCAUAACGUAGGUGCUGCAAACAUGGAGUAAGAGACUGACGUCAGGAGCA